AGCAUGGGUUUGAUCCCUGGCCCAGGAGUUUCCACAUGUCCUGGAUGCGGCCAAAAAAAGAACCCUUCUCCCAAAUAAUGACACUCAGGAAGUUUGAUGAUGGCGGUACAUUGACGCCACCUCAUGACAGAAACCUGAACUGCAGUUUGAAUAUCGUGAAGCAGAAAGGUGGGAAGAAGGGGCUGUGACCCACACCCACCUGGCAGAGCUUUCUGGGAGUCUGGGUGGAAAGGGGGCAUUCCCAGGGUACAGGGAUAUUGAAAUAUCCCGACGGAAAGUGAAGCCUCCUCCUGUGCUGAAGAGAAAGCUUUAUGUGAGUGGAAGUAAAAGAUGAUUUAAAAUUUUUUAUUCUUUGAAACCUCUGGAUAAAUAGCUAGAAAUUAUAUUAGCCAAAAUGGAGCAAGACCAUUUAUAAUCUUUGUAAUCAUCUUUUACACUUUUAUGACCAUCUUUUCACAUAAACCUAUUUCUAU
rnacentral:lncRNA from 9 species